AGUCUCAGAAUAUUAUUAAUAUGCCUCAAUUUGAAAACUAUUUGGCUUACGUUAUUUAUAAUUUUUUUCCAUUAUAAGUAAUAGACACAGAUUGUAUUGUAAGCAGAUUAUUAAUUUAGGUCUUAUUCCUGCCCACCAAGUGAAAGGUAGUGUAAGUGAGUUUUUUUUUAUCAAGAGAUAAUUUGAGUAGUAGUAAUGUUUAAAUAAACACAAAAUCAAUUAUGAUAUAGUGAAGAUUAUAAAAAGUGAGUGAAAGUGGGUGACAGUGGAAGUACAAAGUGACAUAGUGGCUCAGAAGAGGGAAAUUCUGCUUUCUGAAGCAGGAGGGGUAGAGGGCUUCUUGGAGGAGGGAGGUUUUGGGGGAGUCAUAAGAGUGAGAUUUGAAAAGGAAGAGAUGCGGAGGUUGGGCAUUACAGGCAUGAGGACGAAAGACACAUAGAAACAGAGAUGUUAUGAUAAUGUUCUGGUUUAAUUUGAGAUUCAUUCCAGAAACAAGCAAGGAGGUACCUGGGCAUAAGCAGCUCAUGAGAUGCAUUUCUCAGGCAAUAUUGUAUGAUUUAAUCGACUCUGGAAGAUGGUCCGUUCAGGCAUGAGGAAGUGUAACAUCCAGCCAGUCUUCGAGCACCGCACUGUAAUGCAGAGUCAGGUAUUUCUAAGAAUUAUCAGGCCUACACUGGACUUUCUUCAUGGGAAAUAUUUAAGGCAUUGUC
rnacentral:lncRNA from 1 species